rnacentral:lncRNA from 1 species
CUGCAAAAAACCACAGCGAAGCCACGCAUGGUGUCCCCAUCACGGGCUUUGAAGAAGGCACAACCGACUACAGGAGCGUUGUCCGUGACCUGAUGGCAUACCUUUGGCUCCCGAUUGAUGAUGCGAACCUUCCACCGCUCUUCUGCAUGCAAGACCAAAUACCACAGGCCAUUGGCUGCCUGCGGUGGCUCGGAAGAACUUGGGAGGUUCACCAUGGACUUUCCAGUCUGGGACAUCCUGCCACUUCUGCGCAAGCGGCGAAAUGUGGUUGGAGAGGAGAUCUCGCAUGCUGAAGCUGAGAACAUCCUCAACUCGGCCUUGUUCGACUACGAGCUGAAGUCU